rnacentral:lncRNA from 1 species
GGGCCACCUGGAUGAACUGAAGCCCGGGGAGAUCCGUUUACUCCCUGGAUUACCAAAGGAAAUGGCUCUUACAGAUUCCGACCUUAAAAGUAGGCGGCAUAGGCCUCCAGGUGGUAGAGGAGGUCCGCCUGGCCUGGGUGGACCUGCCGGUCCGAUGGGUGGUUUUCCUAGACCACCAGGUGAUAUGGGCCCCCCGGAAAUGACGGGCCCACCAAAGCUCGGUGGACCAGCCGGUCCGAUGGGUGGUUUUCCUAGACCACCAGGUGAUAUGGGCCCCCAGAAAAUGAUGGGUCCACCAAAGCUCGGUGGACCACCACCGUGGC